UUCAUCACUGUGUGAGAGGCCUGUGUGAAAUCUCUCGUUCUUAUGUGAGUUUUAUAAGAUGUACACUGUGCAGAGCCCCUGCCUAUCCUUGGUGAUCCUAAGCGCAAUAAAGCCUCCUGAGUGGCAAGGUCUCCCAGCAAGGAGGAGGGGUAUCCUUCUACAGAAGCCAGCCCCCCUUCCUUGCCUCUCCUCCCACAGGACCAAGAUGUUUAAUGGGCCAGAGAUGCAGCCAGUGGGGAACCCUUUCCCCCACGACCACUGCCCUCAGAAUGUUGGCAUGGUCUUCCUCUUCUCCCAACUUCUUGAUCCUACACCUUCGCCACUCAGACCCUGCCUGUUGUCAUUUCAUCGCUGUCAUUCACUCACCUCUCCCUCAGCCUCAUGGAGAGGAUACAUUUUCUAAUGUCUGUAUAUAGUAUAUAUACUACAUAAAUAUAUAAAUUAUAUAUUACACUAAUUUAUGUCUUGUUUUUCGAACAAGAAUGAUUAAAUCUAUUCAUCUUACUCUCCCAAUAA
rnacentral:lncRNA from 1 species